rnacentral:rRNA from 1 species
AUUGAACGCUGGCGGCAGGCCUAACACAUGCAAGUCGAGCGGAUGAGUGGAGCUUGCUCCAUGAUUCAGCGGCGGACGGGUGAGUAAUGCCUAGGAAUCUGCCUGGUAGUGGGGGACAACGUUUCGAAAGGAACGCUAAUACCGCAUACGUCCUACGGGAGAAAGUGGGGGAUCUUCGGAACUCACGCUAUAAGAUGAGCCUAGGUCGGAUUAGCUAGUUGGUGAGGUAAAGGCUCACCAAGGCGACGAUCCGUAACUGGUCUGAGAGGAUGAUCAGUCACACUGGAACUGAGACACGGUCCAGACUCCUACGGGAGGCAGCAGUGGGGAAUAUUGGACAAUGGGCGAAAGCCUGAUCCAGCCAUGCCGCGUGUGUGAAGAAGGUCUUCGGAUUGUAAAGCACUUUAAGUUGGGAGGAAGGGCAGUAAGUUAAUACCUUGCUGUUUUGACGUUACCAACAGAAUAAGCACCGGCUAACUUCGUGCCAGCCGCCGCCGUAAGAC